rnacentral:rRNA from 1 species
GAUGAACGCUGGCGGCGUGCCUAAUACAUGCAAGUCGAGCGAACAGACGAGGAGCUUGCUCCUCUGACGUUAGCGGCGGACGGGUGAGUAACACGUGGAUAACCUACCUAUAAGACUGGGAUAACUUCGGGAAACCGGAGCUAAUACCGGAUAAUAUAUUGAACCGCAUGGUUCAAUAGUGAAAGACGGUUUUGCUGUCACUUAUAGAUUGAUCCGCGCCGCAUUAGCUAGUUGGUAAGGUAACGGCUUACCAAGGCGACGAUGCGUAGCCGACCUGAGAGGGUGAUCGGCCACACUGGAACUGAGACACGGUCCAGAAUCCUAAGGGAGGCAGCAGUAGGGAAUCUUCCGCAAUGGGCGAAAGCCUGACGGAGCAACGCCGCGUGAGUGAUGAAGGUCUUCGGAUCGUAAAACUCUGUUAUUAGGGAAGAACAAAUGUGUAAGUAACUAUGCACGUCUUGACGGUACCUAAUCAGAAAGCCACGGCUAACUACGUG